UGAAGUACGAGAGGCGUA
rnacentral:misc_RNA from 1 species